GUUUCCAGCUUUGUUCUUUUGGCUUAGGAUUGACUUGGCGAUGUGGGCUCUUUUUUGGUUCCAUAUGAACUUUAAAGUAGUUUUUUCCAAUUCUGUGAAGAAAGUUGUUGGUAGCUUGAUGGGGAUGGCAUUGAAUCUAUAAAUUACCUUGGGCAGUAUGGCCAUUUUCACGAUAUUGAUUCUUCCUACCCAUGAGCAUGGAAUGUUCUUCCAUUUGUUUGUAUCCUCUUUUAUUUCGUUGAGCAGUGGUUUGUAGUUCUCCUUGAAGAGGUCCUUCACGUCCCUUGUAAGUUGGAUUCCCAGGUAUUUUAUUGUCUUUGAAGCAAUUGUGAAUGGGAGUUCACUCAUGAUUUGGCUCUCUGUUUGACUGUUAUUGGUGUGUAAGAAUGCUUGUGAUUUUUGUACAUUGAUUUUGUAUCCUGAGACUUUGCUGAAGUUGCUUAUGAGCUUAAGGAGAUUUUGGGCUGAGACGAUGGGGUUUUCUAGAUAUACAAUCAUGUCAUCUGCAAACAGGGACAAAUUGACUUCCUUUUUUCCUAACUGAAUACCCUUUAUUUCCUUCUCCUGCCUGAUUGCCCUGGCCAGAACUUCCAACACUAUGUUGAAUAGGAAUGGUGAGAGAGGGCAUCGAAUUUUUUUGAGAAAUUAAAAAUAACUUAUUCUGCGUUAUCCCAGAAUGAAAUUACACAAGUGAAUUUAGUGAAGAAAGCAUAAUCUUUUAAUAAAUAUAUUUUUAAAUCUUGAACUACUUUAAUAAAAACUUUGCCCACAUGUGUCACAACAAACAUAAACUAAUUUUGUUUUGACUACUCAGAAUCAUCAUUUUGGAUAUAAAUUAUAAAAUAAUAAAAAAUGGAUGCAACCCCCAGGAUUUUUAUGGCAUUUAGGGCAACUUGUUUUAAAUUAAAACACCCUGGCGUACUACAUUUUUGUCUGAAUUUGCCUUUUCAUUGUCGCUACUUUUUACUGGUGUCAUUAUAUACAUUUGUUUGUUUUCAUUAUACCUGUCCUUUAAACCCAAUCCUAAAUUAAUAGUUCUAGGAGUAUUCCUUUAUUACAAGAUAAAUUUGAUGAACUUGUUUGUUUGAUUUUGGUUUCCUGAGGAUAUUUCAUACAUGUGGAGUAGAUAAGAGAAAAGCCUAACAUGAUGUUUAAAUUAUUGUGGAAAAUGGUGUAGUAAAAGCAGAAACAAACAUGAUAAUGUAAUUUCCUUUUAAAUCAACAGAUAGCAGCAAUGAGGAAGGACUUUUUUUCACAUGCCUGGAACAUAUUCGAGUUAGCAAUUACAUUAAUUGGCAUCUUACAUGUAAUACUUAUUGAAAUAGACACCAUUAAGUAUAUUUUUAAUGAGACUGAAGUAAUAGUCUUUAUAAAAGUUGUUCAAUUUUUUCGUAUACUACGCAUUUUCAAGGUAAAGAACCAGUAAAUCGUGCAAUUUCUAAUUCCUACUGAUUGUUUCAUAAAACAUAGAGUAAAAUUAGUUUACUAGUUUUAUGGUUAACAUAUUCUGUUGGGUUAAUGUUUAUAUUUUAAAUUUUAGCUUCCUUUGGCAAAUUAAGUUUCAUAACAUUUCAUAUUACAAACAUCCCAAUUAUAUUAGGAAUUUGUUUAGCAUGUGAAAGUAUAGACAUACUCAUCACAACUUUUCCUUUAAAUAGACAGCACAUGAGAAAUUCUAUAUUAAUGCAAGUGUAAGUUAACCUCCAUGUAAUGUUUAUUUUUAUAGAUAUUUGGGGAAUAAAAGAUGGAAGUUAACAAAACAACCAUGCAAACUAUUUAUAGGGACAAAGAAAAUAUCCUACAUUUAUACAAAUCAAGGAAAAAAUACAUAUAGUAUUAUAGAAAUAUGGUUUCAAAAAUAACCUUUGAUUGUCUAAUAACAUGUUUCUAUAACAAAUAUUAUGGGUGGUUAUUUUCUGUGUGAUUAUUUCAAUGACAUGAAACUCACUCCUCCACAAAUAAGUAUAUAUAUGAAUGCAGAUAUACUCUCUCUUUCCUAUCUUUUUCACUAUUCAUACACAAACAAGAUACAUGCAUAUAUAAGCACUGUGAGUGAUACAGUUAAAUAAAACAUAGUUUGUAUGGAGAUAAAACUAAUAGAAUCUUUACAUUUAGAUCUUUCUUACACAUGCAAGGAAUAAUUUAAAACAUUUUUGCUACUGAGAGGCAUAAAUCAACUAGGUCAAAGAGUACAGAACCAGUAGUCUGCUUUUUCGGUAUUCUAAGGGAUCAUAAGUAGUGCUAGAGUACAAUUUACCUGAGGAAGGCGAGUCUAGUGUAUUCCACUGAUGAAUUAAUUCUGAUAGGAAGGUAUACAGAGCCUAACAAAUAGUUCAGAUGAAGAAACUAAUAAAACAACUUAGAAAAGUUUGUUGAUAUAUUCAGAAAACUCUGAACUAUGGUCUUAUGUUAAAUCACAGGUCCUUGGAAUAUGAAGAUGAAUUAGAUAUUGUCUCUUCCCCUGGAAAGCUUAUUGUAGAAGAAAAAUCACGAGUAAUCUAGAUAUUGAAAUGUUAUAUGGUAGGAUAAGUGCAAAACAGGAGUAUGCACAGAAUGAGAAAAGACUUCAUUUAUUAGGUGAUACUUGAGCUGAAUCUUGAAAGAUGAGUGUAAACCCUUUGGAGAUUAGUGGCAGGUAGUUGCAGGGUAGAGUAUGGAGGUUGUGGAACAUAGAUAGAAAAACAAAGGGAUCAAUGAACUCUGCAGAAGCUAGGGGACUGCACAAUGGUAGCUGAUAACCUGGAGACUUCAACCCUCAGCAAAGAAACAGAGAGAAGUGAAGUUAAUUUUGGGGUCUAACAGGCAGUAUGGUUGUGGUGGUUUCUCACCUGACCAGACCAUCAAGUAGGAGGUGUUAUAGGAGAUUUAGCAUGCAAAAAUGGCAGUAAUUUAGUCAUUUUAUGACCUAAGCACAGAAGAUUAAUUGCAUUGUUUUCCAAGAAUUGAAACCAGUUGAAAAUAGCAUCCAAUUCUCUAUAAGGAAAAUAAGUAAAGAAUAAAGUCAUAAAUUUCACAUAGGUACCCCCAAAUUAUUAGUUAUAGGGAAAUAGCUAUAGUCAUGAAGUUAUAAAGAUACCACUAAAAAAAUAACAAAGAACCUUGACAGGUUAUUGUAGUUACCUUUGAGGGCACUUAAUUUCUUAUUAUUAACUAUUUUGAUUAAACUAAUCAACAUAUCAUAAAAUGAUAUUUGUGCAAUUUAUAUUAAUGGAAGUCCUGUUUAAUUCAGCUCAUAGCACCAAAGUUGCUGCAAAUAAUAGAUAAAAGAAUGAGUCAUCAGAAGACCUUUUGGUAUGGAAUACUAAAAGGCUAUGUCCAAGGCGAAGCAGACAUAAUGACCAUAAUUGAUCAGAUUACAAGUUCUAAACAGAUUAAACAGGUAAGAAAACCUUAAAUCCUAAGAAAAGAGUUCACUCAGCCCUCAGUUGCCCUCAUCCAUCAUUUUUUUCUGUUCAUAUAUGCAGAUGUCUUUGACUCCUGGUUUUCUAAUUCAUUUCUUUAAAAACUUAAACUAGGUUACAUUUAAAUUACUCAAAUGCCUCCUUCUGAAAUGAACUGUGCCAUAUUAGCAAGUUACAAGGCUCCUAUAAGGCACACUUCUGUCUUUGUGGAGGCUAUCACAAAACCCAAGUGCAGUGGUUAGCUUUCUCCCAAUGCAAGCUCUAAGAUCUGUCAGGCUAUGGGUGUGUAAAAUAGGAAGUACUGGAAGGUGAGAAGUGAAGGCAGGGUGGAGAAAACAGGGCUUCCUCAUAAUGCCCAAAAGCUUCUUUCAUCUCUCUCUAUCCUUGUUUUCUACACAUUAAACAGUAAAGGAAAUAAAAACAAGUGAUUCAGCAAAUAGAAAGAAGUAAAGAAAACAAUAAUUAAAAUAGAGGGAAACCUAGUUUGAUUUUGUCAUUAUGCAGAUGAGAAAAAGGAGGCCAAGAGAGGUUAAAUGAUUGUGCCCAAAGUUCCAUAGUGAGUAAGCAGGAAAGAUAAUUCUAAGGCCUAAAUUCUAGAUAUUAUUUUUACUUUCUAGAUUGAGACAGAUUAAAACCGAUAUGUGCCCAUAAGUUUGUCAGCUAUGUGGAAUGCAAUAUUUACUUUUCAAGACGAUUUAAAACAUCUCAAUGCUAUAUUUUAUGUGCCCAAAACUUUGUCAUUGAGAAACUGAACAUUCAAUAUGUGGUAGAACACAAAAAGUAGUAUCUUCCUCUCUUCACCUCCUGCAACUUUAAAACUAUUUUCUUAUGUUUUAUUACCUUUUCUAACCACUGAUAUUUAGCACUUGAAUUUGGAGACACACAGGAGAAAAUAUGAAAAGACUUGAGUCCCUAAAAUAUUGUCUUAUUAUCCCUAAUUUCUACUUUCGUUCACCUUGGCCAAAAUUUCUAAUCCCUUAAGAUUGCAAGCCAUCCUGGAAUCACAAAUCUGGGGGCUCUCAUAAAGCCGAAUGGGAAAGUACCUACCUAUGUUCAUAAAACAUAGACUAAAAUCAGUUUACUAGUUUUAUGGCUACAAUUUUCUGUUGGGCUAAUGUUUGUAUCUUAAAUUUUAGCUCCCUUUGACAAAUUAAGUUUUAUAACGUUUCAUAUUACAAACAUCCAAAUUAUAUUAGGAAUUAAUACCAUGCCUGCACUUUUCAGAAUCAUGACUCACCUUCAGAUGUCUCAAAAUUGGGCUAGGUUAUACCUCUUAUCUUCUCUAUUACUUUAGCUGAAGCAAAAAGUGCUGCGGCACAAAAUUCAAUUCGAACCCCUGAAAACCUCUUCAUCCUACUUCUCUUAAAACUAUUAACUUAGGUUAAAAAUCCAUCAGUUGCAAAUGUAAGGACAUUUUAUAACAGUCUGUUUUUCCAAUGGGGAUAACAUUUCUUUUGUUCCUUAGAUGUUAUUAAAGCAAGUGAUAAGGAAUAUGGAACAUGCUAUAAAAGAGCUAGGUAAGUAGCUCUCAUCCUAUUUAGCAUGACCAUCUCUUAUCAUCACCACUUCAGAAAGGCAAUGGUUUUCAUAACUCGAGCUAAUCUUUGAGGAAACCUACUCACUAACAAUACUGAAGUGAGUAACCUCAACAAUCAAUGCAAUCUUAUUUUCUAGUUGAGAUGGAAAUAGUGUAAUAUCGCUUCACACUUUCUCUCUCUGCUUCAUGCAACAAUGAAGGCCUUUUGAUUUCUCUUUAGACAAGUUGGCAUGCUAUGAUUAUGUAUGUCAUUAUAGUCUUGUAAAUUCCAUUUUUUUCCAAACCAGAAAUACAUGUACCUUCCUGAGUGACACAAGAAAAGAAGUUACGUUUUUCCUCUACUUGCCACAGAGCUGCCAUUUAAGGAUUUAGGUCUUACAUGAGUUGAAAUUAGAAUACAAUCUUGCAGAAUCCUGUUAUAUCUGCUGGGAGGCCCAGUGUCAAACAUGGCAAUAGCCUAUUCUCUGAGUCAUGCCAAGUCACGCUCCUGGUGCAGGACAAAUCUUAAGAGUGGCACAGUCACAACCCUACAGUACAAUGUUCAUGUAUAGGAGGAGAAGAAAAUUUUAUACCAUGUGGUGAGCUACAAAAGGACACAGCAAACCUGGAGAUGAGGUCAUUUGAGAGAUCUUCUAUGACAGGUAGUUACCAAGCCAGAUAAGAGGUUAUGGUCAAGGAAAAGCCCAAAUGUAGACUCUAAGAUGAAAUUUUCAUGGACUUCAGGAAUCCAGAUGAAAUGGGCAGAAGAGCAUAAAUGUAUGAGUCAUCUAGAUGCACUGGCAGGUUGAGUGGACGAUGACCUAAGACGAGUGAAAGGAAGUAAUCAGAAGCCGUAUUUAAUCACAAAAUCAUCUGUAGUUAAAAAUUCUGAUUCACACAGAAUAAGAAAAUGAGUCAUGAACUCCAGACAUAUAGCCCUGAGCAGCCUCCUAGUGUCCAGUGCAGGUAGAAAAGUAUACCUGUUAAUCCUAGAAACGAAGCUACCUAUCCUUCUCCAUGGACUUGGGCACAAGUAUGAGUGCUGCCAAGAAAACAUCCAGCAGAACUCUGGCACUACUAGUGAAUUAUGAUUGAUCAUAGUGGCCCCUUCAGGAAGAGAUACAUUUCUCUGUGUUGAGGGCGGUAUUCCAUGGGUUUAGAACAGAAACUUAGCUUAUUGUCCACAUAAAACAUUUAAAACAAUGUUCUUAUUUAAUCUAAAAAUAUUUUGUUAUUUUUUAGGCUACUUAGAGUAUGAUCACCCAGAAAUUGCUGUCACUGUGAAAACAAAGGAAGAAAUUAAUGUUAUGCUCAAUAUGGCUACAGAAAUUCUUAAGGCUUUUGGCUUAAAAGGAAUUAUUAGUAAAACUGAAGGUGCUGGAAUUAAUAAGGAACAGACCACCUGUUUCUCUGCUUUGCUGUCAAACCAAAAGUCUGAUGAAUCUAUUCGUCAUCCUAGAUUACAGUGGGUAUUAUUAUGUUUGGGGAAUUAUCUGUGACACUUAAAUAACAUUUUUCGUGUAAAACAUGAUUUAUGAGAACACUCAAUUGUAGGGUUAGUGUUGACUAUAUUUCCUUUUCCUAAGUUACAUAAAUGGUACUAUGACAUAUAAAGGAUAGAAAGAAUCCCAAUUCAUUCUGUAAGUACAAACUUGACACCAAAAUUGGAAAUAGCAUAAGAAAAAAAAAGCAUAAACCUGUU
rnacentral:lncRNA from 1 species